rnacentral:lncRNA from 1 species
GGGGUACAGCAGGGUGUAUAGCAGGGUGUAGAGAGGGUGUUACAGCAGGGUGUAUGCAGGGUGUAUAGCAGGGUGGUACAGCAGGGUGUUAGCAGGGUGAUGCAGGGUACAGCAGGGUGUUAGCCAGGGUGUACACAGGUGUAUACAGGUGUAAGCAGGUGUCUAGCAGGUGUAGGCAGGGUGUACAGCAGGGUGUAUAGCAGGGUGUAUAGCAGGGUGUACAGCAGGUGUACAGCAUGGUGUACAGCCGGGUGUAUAGCAGGGUGUUACAGCAGGGUGUACAGCGUGUGCGGGUGUAUAGCAGUGUCAGCAGGGUGUACCAGCAGGGUGUACAGCAGUGUGCUAGCAGGGUGUAAGCAGGGUGUACAGCAGGGUGUACAGCAGGGUGUACAGCAGGGGGUACAGCAGGGUGUAUAGCAGGGUGUACAGCAG